GACGAACGCUGGCGGCGUGCCUAAUACAUGCAAGUCGAACGCAGUGGGGACGGUUGAGUAACACGUGGGUAACCUCCCAUCAGAGGGGAUAACACGUGGAAACAGGUGCUAAACCGAUACUGAUGGAUGGACCCGCGGUGCAUUAGCUAGUUGGUGAGGUAACGGCUCACCAAGGCCACGAUGCAUAGCCGACCUGAGAGGGUGACCGGCCACACUGGGACUGAGACACGGCCCAGACUCCUACGGGAGGCAGCAGUAGGGAAUAUUGGGCAAUGGGCGAAAGUCUGACGGAGCAAUGCCGCGUGAAUGAAGAAGGUUUUCGGAUCGUAAAGCUCUUUUGUUAGAGAAGCGGUAUCUAACCAGAAAGCCACGGCUAACUACGUGCCAGCAGCCGCGGUAAUUC
rnacentral:rRNA from 1 species